ACCGGGCUAUGACAUCACCAUGGAGAUUCGGACAGACGAAGCUUCACAGAUGCCCCAGAAAUGACCAUUAUCCACAGACUGCAGAGACUCUCCAGUAUCCAUGUGAAGACGUUUCAAAACAUCACCGUGGAGUCUAGGCCUGCCAUCUAUGGAUCCUGACCAGUGUUACAGAAACACAGACUAGUGAACCUGUUAGUGUUAAGAGAUGUGGGGGGAUGUGGAGGCAAACCUGGUGAAGGAAGAAAUGAGACGGAGAACAAGGCACCCCAAGCUCCUACGACCCCUUAAAGAGUCCUGAUCCAGUGUCCACAGUGUAUGAUCUGACUUGCUCCGGGCGUACCCGUGAGACAACACAAAGAACCUGAGGCCAGAGCAGUGGCUGCUUUGCUUGUCUUCAUGGAAAUCUCCCUGGGGGAUCGGGGAUCGGACUCUCUCCUGCAGGCUCGUGGUCAGGUGAGUCAGAUUCUGCUAAACAACAAUAGUUACACUCUGAUUUGGCCUUGAAUACAUAAACAUACCCAAAUUGGCUAAAAAGCUACAUAUAAGCUCAUGUAAUAAACAAUAAAGUUAGAUCUGCACUCU
rnacentral:lncRNA from 1 species